rnacentral:rRNA from 1 species
AUUGAACGCUGGCGGCAGGCCUAACACAUGCACGUCGAACGAGUGGCGGACGGGUGAGUAAUGUCUGGGAAACUGCCUGAUGGAGGGGGAUAACUACUGGAAACGGUAGCUAAUACCGCAUACCAUCGGAUGUGCCCAAAUGGGAUUAGCUAGUAGGUGGGGUAAAGGCUCACCUAGGCGACGAUCCCUAGCUGGUCUGAGAGGAUGACCAGCCAUCCUGAGACGGAGACACGGUCCAGACUCCUACGAUAGGCAGCAGUGGGGAAUAUUGCACAAGGGGCGCAAGCCUGAUGCAGCCAUGCCGCGUGUAUGAAGAAGGCCUUCAGGUUGUAAAGUACUUUCUGCGGGGAGGCGUUACCCGCAGAAGAAGCACCGGCUAACUCCGUGCCAGCAGCCGCGGUAAUUC